GACGAACGCUGGCGGCGUGCUUAACACAUGCAAGUCGAACGGAAAGGCCCUGCUUUUGUGGGUGCUCGAGUGGCGAACGGGUGAGUAACACGUGAGUAACCUGCCCUUGACUUUGGGAUAACUUCAAGAAACUGGGGCUAAUACCGGAUAGGAUCUCCUGCUGCAUGGUGGGGGUUGGAAAGUUUCGGCGGUUGGGGAUGGACUCGCGGCUUAUCAGCUUGUUGGUGGGGUAGUGGCUUACCAAGGCUUUGACGGGUAGCCGGCCUGAGAGGGUGACCGGCCACAUUGGGACUGAGAUACGGCCCAGACUCCUACGGGAGGCAGCAGUGGGGAAUAUUGCACAAUGGGCGGAAGCCUGAUGCAGCAACGCCGCGUGCGGGAUGACGGCCUUCGGGUUGUAAACCGCUUUCGCCUGUGACGAAGCGUGAGUGACGGUAAUGGGUAAAGAAGCACCGGCUAACUACGUG
rnacentral:rRNA from 1 species